UGCUUCUUCUUGAGAGCGGCGGACGGGUGAGUAAUGCCUAGGAAUCUGCCUGGUAGUGGGGGAUAACGUCCGGAAACGGACGCUAAUACCGCAUACGUCCUACGGGAGAAAGCAGGGGACCUUCGGGCCUUGCGCUAUCAGAUGAACCUAGGUCGGAUUAGCUAGUUGGUGGGGUAAUGGCUCACCCAGGCGACGAUCCGUAACUGGUCUGAGAGGAUGAUCAGUCACACUGGAACUGAAACACGGUCCAGACUCCUACGGGAGGCAGCAGUGGGGAAUAUUGGACAAUGGGCGAAAGCCUGAUCCACCCAUGCCGCGUGUGUGAAGAAGGUCUUCGGAUUGUAUAGCACUUUAAGUUGGGAGGAAAGGCAGUAAAUUAAUACUUUGCUGUUUUGACAUUACCGACACAAUAAACACCGGCUAACUCUGUGCCCCAGCCGCGGUAAUACAGAGGGUGCAAGCGUUAAUCGGAAUUACUGGUCGUAAUAGCGCGCGUAGGUGGUUCGUUAAUUUGGAUGUGAAAUCCCCGCGCUCAACCCUGCGAACUGCUUUC
rnacentral:rRNA from 1 species